CGUGUUUUUAUUUCGAUGUAAAUGAGAUAUGGAACCAAAAUUUGUAGUCCUGUUUGGCGCCAUGUAACCUAUACUGUGUUGGUGCGCCGUAAAACCCAAAUAAAUAAAUAAAUAUAAAAAGUAUUUCCAGAGUUACAGUCCUUGAAUUUGAGAAAUUUGCAUUACAUUUAAAGGAAAAAUUCUUUGUGAUUUUCAUUUAUGGUUAUAGUUAAGUAUGGUUGUUUAUUUGAGGAGUAGUUUAGCUAUUACAAUAUUAGAUUCUCGGUCUCUUUCAGUUUGAAAUAAUAACUGUAGAUUGCAUUUUUAGUGCUUUGAAAAUAGUAGCUGUGUUUGAUUGUUUUAAAUAUUAAAUCCGUCUUAAAGUUAAAUUGCUUUUAACUCGAGUUUUAAAAUUUCAACUUACGUAAAAGCAUUACUGGUAGAUGGUUAAGUUACAGAUAUUUAGAUGAGUUAUGCAACAUUGUUUGAAUAUUUAUUUCUCAACUUAUUUAUCAAAAUGUGUUCAGAACAAGCCAUUUUGUGUUCAAAUAAUCCGCCUGUAUUCAUAUUUUCUUUGAUCCUUAUUUGUAUCUUUUAUAUUAAAUAUUUGCCUGUAAAGCUA
rnacentral:lncRNA from 1 species